GACCUUGCCACUCUGCUAUCACUGCUGUGUGCUCUCCAUUGUGUUACAGUCACCUUCACAUCUAUCUGGGUGAUCCAUAGCAAUAACUCAGAAUGCAGGCUUGGGUCCAGCCACACUCUGCCUAGAUGUUCACUUGUUCAGGUAGCAAUGGUCCUCUCCCAUGGUUUAUCUAUCUUAGAAUUUCUACUUUCCCUUCUUCUAGGGUUGUGGAAGCGCACGUUGUCCUUAAUUUUUAAACAUUUCAUCAUUUUAGUUGUCUUUCUAUGGAAUUAUUUUAGCAAAACUAAAAAUCCCCAGGGAUCAGUGAGGUAGGAAUGGAGAUCAAACAUCUUGGAGGUGUUGGAGGACUUGAGAGCAAAUGGGUUGACUGUUCCCUCUCCAAUGGUAUUAUAGAUCUUCCCUGAAGACAAGAAGGAGGGAAGGGUGUGUGAGCUGAUAGUGGUGGCUAGGGCUUGUCCAUGUUGCUUCAUAGCUCUUUUCUACUCUACAGUGCCUGUAGAAGACAGUCCAGACAGGAAGAAAACAGGACAACAAUGAAGAACAACAGGACCACUCAUCCCAGGCUCCUCUGAUGUCCCCUGAACAGGCAGUUUGCUUCUUCAAAUUUGCCAUGCACUGGAAGAGGAUCUGCUCCUUGGGGAAAAGUGAAAGGGAACUCUACAGCAAUGGGCCUCCAUCUGGGAAUUCCAUCAGGGAAAAACAUGCUGAAACAUUUCAGAACAGCAUAAACAGGUGGCAGAAAAUAGACCCUCAGACUCCAAGAAUAAAGGAAAGGCUGUUUUUACGGAGAUGUCUGAAUUAUACACGCUUCAAAAAUAGAGCACUGGAACCAGCAAGGAGGCAGCAAUAAAUGCAGUCCCUGGUUUUGUGGUUGCCAACGAAGAUAUCACUGUCACUGGACAGUGCUGCAAACUCACUUUUUAGGUCAAUAUAAACAGCUUUUUGAAAUCUAAAGAAUUCUUUAAAAUGCUGUCAGAUUUAGAGUAAGAGAAAAAUUGCAGUUUUGUUACGUUGAAAGCUGCUCUACAAAGCCAAGGGGAAUGUCUCAUGGCUUUGGCUGCAUUUGCUUCUGCUAGCAUUACUCUUCAUGUCUGCCUUGCAGAGAGUCAUGCUGGGAUGCUGUUCCUACCGGAUGCAUCUGCUGAGAGUAAACAUAUGGAAAGGCCUUCCCUUCACUAAGGAUAUGUCAUCCUCUUGCUGUGUGAUGGGCAGCAUCACAAUUUUCAUCUAAUUCUGGAGUUUUUCAAAGUAUGGUAGUGCUCACACUGAGCUGGAGGAGGAGG
rnacentral:lncRNA from 1 species